GGAGAGACUCUGAGUUGAACAACUUCCCCUAGGGCCCUCAAAGAGAAGAGAGGAGUUUCAGAAACUGCAGGUCAGGGUGCCUGGACACACUGAGGGUGUUCCUACUUCUCUCUGGAAGCUGAGGGAGAAAGGCUUCCUGGAGGACGUGACAGAGAUUAUUAGGUCCAAAUGAAGGUUGAGAGUCUGUCUGUGGAGCCCUGGCUGCCCUGGAACUCUAUAUAGACCAGGCUGGCCUCCAACUCACAGAGACCUGCCUGCCUCUGCCUAAGUACUGGGAUUAAAGGCGUGCGCCACCAGCCCCAACUA